GACGAACGCUGGCGGCGUGCCUAAUACAUGCAAGUAGAACGCUGAAGGAGGAGCUUGCUCUUCUGGAUGAGUUGCGAACGGGUGAGUAACGCGUAGGUAACCUGCCUGGUAGCGGGGGAUAACUAUUGGAAACGAUAGCUAAUACCGCAUAACAGUAGAUGUUGCAUGACAUUUACUUAAAAGGUGCAAUUGCAUCACUACCAGAUGGACCUGCGUUGUAUUAGCUAGUUGGUGGGGUAACGGCUCACCAAGGCGACGAUACAUAGCCGACCUGAGAGGGUGAUCGGCCACACUGGGACUGAGACACGGCCCAGACUCCUACGGGAGGCAGCAGUAGGGAAUCUUCGGCAAUGGACGGAAGUCUGACCGAGCAACGCCGCGGGAGUGAAGAAGGUUGUCGGAUCGUAAAGCUCUGUUGUAAGAGAAGAACGAGUGUGAGAGUGGAAAGUUCACACUGUGACGGUAUCUUACCAGAAAGGGACGGCUAACUACGUG
rnacentral:rRNA from 1 species